GAUCACUCGCCGCCGGGCGGGUGCUGCGUUUGUUUCUGUACCAUUAGGCCGUAGAAGGUACAGAAAGAAACGCAUUUUUUAU
rnacentral:ncRNA from 1 species